UCUACACCCACCAAAGAUUGAUGAAGGAAGGCCUACAUCGGUCCGACGUCGGCGAAAAGCCCAGUUGGGAAAUCCACGAGGAAGACAACCCCAGUCCAACGUCGGUGUCUACUCUUCCUUCCAUAAACCCAUUUCACCCUCUUCCCCACCGUCCCUCGAGCUUUAGCCUAUGACACCUCUCUUCCCAUAAAUAUGUGUUCCUGUAAAUUGUUCGACUUUUCGUUUCAUUACUCAAGUGCCCACACUUUUCCAAGUUUCAGUUAACCAUUGAAAGUGUUCACAGGGUUGACAAUGGUUGCUCAGAAAAUGUAAUGUUUCUUUGAAUCUCUCUAUUUCCUUUGACAAAAAUGAUACAUCCUGUAGCUUUCUUUAUAUGUUACUAUUGAAUGUGUUUAAGAUGUUCAGAUGCAGGAGC